CUUAAAGGGGCCGGCGCUCUACCUGGCCAAGCCGACCACCCUUGGAAGUGGAGGGUCUCGAGGCAGAGACAGUGGAAUUUGGCCUCAGGCUCUGCGCUGUAGUGUGGGCCACUAGCCCAGAAGAGUGGGGUUACGGCUCAGGACUCUCCCCCCUCCCCGCCCCCAAAAUCUGGCCGCAGUAGCGGCGAGGCUUCUCUUGGAGAUCCCUAGGCGUCAAGCCUCACGGGGUGAGCGCGGCGCGGCCCCUCGACCCAAGGGCAGACGCCAGGCCAAACACCAGCUCCCAGCACUUUCCUCUCGCAGAACAUCAAGAGUCACCCCCACUGAAGCCCUGACGGCAUCGUACCCCGGGGAACGCUGCGGGCCCAAGGAAACUGGCAGCCGCCUUCUUUCCAGUCAGAAAAUGGCCUGCAGGGCCCGUGCCUGUGCGUACUGUCAACCGCGUCCGGACUUUGGACUUUGGACAGGAAGGCGUCUCGGGUCAGCCGUGGUUCAGACAGAGUUUAACCUCUCCCACGCUAGAGAACUUCGAUCGGGUCUCCACUGCCCAGAGGAGGUUCGAGUGGUUUACGCAUGUCUACCUAAGUUACCUGGGCACUUGCUAGACAGAACUGUCUUAAACUCUAUGAGCUCCUCGUUGCCCAAAUGCCAAAGCAGACCCCUGUGGACCUUGGCUGGACGACUGCUGUUCUCCUCUGAGAAGGGGAGCAAAAAGUAGCAGCUGAAAGUAGCACCUUGCCUUCUAAAUUUAGGACCCUAUUUUUAGGUAUGUUGAAUAAAGUACGGAGGGCUGGAUUUGUUCGUGGGAGACUUUUAGCUGACAUAGGUGUAAAGGAUAACCCCUGGGUCUUCCUUGCCAGCAAUGAUAAUCCUCAACAAGCUCGGCUUUCUACAAGUCCUCAGGGAAGCGACAAAAAGGAGCAGAUGCUUCUUCCAAAACAGGUCACCCGAGAAAACUCAAUAGUUGAACAAAAUCUUGAAUCCUUAGGAAAUUUCCCUAAUGUAAGCUGGCAGCAACAAUUGUGCCAGAAAGAAUUAAAAAAAAAAAAAAAAUUGGCCAAGUUCACAGCAAAUGAUUUGAGGGCCCAAAUGGGGCCUAGUUUUUUGGAACUCAAAGUGCUCUCUUUUGCCACAUCAGCCUAAGGAGUUUCAGGAACAAUCGGUAUCAGAAACAGGAAUUGCUUAAUAAUUCUCCAUUUUUAAGAUAUUACACAACCUUCAUAUAUGCUGGUCAGUGUGUAUUGAAAUUAAAUUACGUUAAUAGCUUAUUAAAGUCAAAACAGAAGCAUAACCAGAAUUUUACACUUAAAAUUUCAGAGAAUCUUAGAACAAUGCAUUUAGAGCAUUGUAUUACUUGAUAAAAAUUCUUUAAUGUCUGAA
rnacentral:lncRNA from 1 species